UAAACUACACAAAUUAUCUUUCAUACAAAGACGGCUAUGUAGCUAGCUAAGAAGAAUUGCUCAGAUCAAACAAAUCAAGCCGUUGUAAUGUAGUGAAGUGUAAUAUUACCUGUGGAGCGAAGCGUGGUGCGACUGCUCGCUCCAAACCGGAAGAUACCAGUAGAGAGGGAUGUAAGUUACACCUCCUUUCUCCUCCCUUUUCCUCUCCUCUCCCCAACCCUCCAUCUCAUACCUCUUUCUCUGAGUGAUACGGGCAGGAACUAAGGCAGCUGAGGGUGUUCCAGCAGCAGACAUGACCAAGAGGACCAGAGACCUGAAGCGGACCAAGCUACGGGACAUGAAUGUGUUUGUGUCCAAGACCCGCUUGUGUAUCCACAACCUGCCCAAGUCUGUAGACAGCAAACAACUAGGACAACUCUGUCUGAGCUCUGCAGGAGCUGGCAAGGGGGUCCUCAUUACCGAGUGCAGGGUGAUGUAUGAUAAGAAGCCAGAGCGGGGUCAGGUGUUAGGCCGGUCGCUAGG